GACGGACGCUGGCGGCGUGCUUAACACAUGCAAGUCGAACGAAGAGCGACGGAAGCUUGCUUCUAUCAAUCUUAGUGGCGAACGGGUGAGUAACGCGUAAUCAACCUGCCCUUCAGAGGGGGACAACAGUUGGAAACGACUGCUAAUACCGCAUACGAUCUAAUCUCGGCAUCGAGGAUGGAUGAAAGGUGGCCUCUACAUGUAAGCUAUCACUGAAGGAGGGGAUUGCGUCUGAUUAGCUAGUUGGAGGGGUAACGGCCCACCAAGGCGAUGAUCAGUAGCCGGUCUGAGAGGAUGAACGGCCACAUUGGGACUGAGACACGGCCCAGACUCCUACGGGAGGCAGCAGUGGGGAAUCUUCCGCAAUGGACGAAAGUCUGACGGAGCAACGCCGCGUGAGUGAUGACGGCCUUCGGGUUGUAAAGCUCUGUUAAUCGGGACGAAAGGCCUUCUUGCGAAUAGUGAGAAGGAUUGACGGUACCGGAAGAGAAAGCCACGGCUAACUACGUG
rnacentral:rRNA from 1 species